rnacentral:tRNA from 1 species
GGCGCAGCUCGGUGGGCCUGAUCUUUCGCAGCGGUUUCCUAAACCGGGUGCGCAGGUCCGAUUCCUGCCGGGG